UACGGGGGGGGUAAGCGUUGUUCGGAAUUACUGGGCGUAAAGGGCUCGUAGGCGGCCAACUAAGUCAUACGUGAAAUCCCUCAACUUAACUGGGGAACUGCGUGUGAUACUGGAUGGCUUGGAUUUGGGAGAGGGAUGCGGAAUUCCAGGUGUAGCGGUGAAAUGCGUAGAUAUCUGGAGGAACACCGGUGGCGAAGGCGGCAUCCUGGACCAAUAUUGACGCUGAGGAGCGAAAGCCAGGGGAGCAAACGGG
rnacentral:rRNA from 1 species